ensembl:lncRNA
UUAGACUUGAAAUAUCAGACACUUAAGAAGGUUAUGGUUUAAAGACACUACUCACAACCCUAGAGGAAGAAACCAAAAGCAAAAAUCCUUGCAUUUUCCCUCUGAAUGUUCUUGAAUUUGUUCUGUCUUUUCUUUGGUGGGAAAGAGUGGUGCUGCACACAAACAAAUCUGCCUGCAUGGGGGGUGCUUCAAAACCGUCUGAGCUAUUCACUCGGAUUCCUGAGGUCCAAGAAGCCUGCAGUCCUGCUGCUGUGGGAAUGGGGCCGGGGUGUGAGGCGGGGAAGGGGUUGGAGAUGCGGAUGACUGAGACAGUGCAGAUGGAGAUGGUGGAGCUGAUGCAGGUGGAAGGGGAGAGAGAGGCUGCAGAGAGUGCAGGGUGACAGGAUGGGAAGAAGAAAGGGAAUGAAGUCACCGUCUGGAAUCAGAACCCACGGCUCUCCCAGUCCAACUCUGGCCCGGUGACUGCCACGCCAAAUCCAGGCUCUAGCGUCUCUCAGGAGCACAAAAGGAAACGAGGGCGCCGACAGUGAGGCUGUGAGACAGGAAGCAGGAAGCCAGGUGCUCCUGCUGCUGCUGUAGCCUGGAGCUGUUCCCGAAACGCCCUCCCUGCCCGAGCACACGCCAUGUUGCGGACAGCGCAGCCCAGACAUCUUGUGACCUAGAACCUUCUUCAUGGGCUCUGGAAAUGUUGAGCGUGGACCCAAGAACACCUAGGGAUCAGGGAUACCAUCUGGAUCCAUAAAUUUUCCCCUAAUGGACAGCCCCAGUGUGGGAAAAGAAAACCCACGCAGAUUCCACACAGAAGACAGGGAAUGUCGAAGACCAACAUUGUGGGUGAGACUGAGUGCCGAUGCAAGCCCUCUGCCUGCAGUGGCAAAUCGUGACCAGCAAGCCCUCAGUCAUGAUGAACAGCUAUGAACCGGGGUUGAUGGCCAGAGCAUCAUUACCCUUCUACACAUACUCCACGAGGACAACCCUGUGCAACACCGCAGAACAA